CCAGAGGGGAAAGUUGACAGGUUUGUUCAUGUGAUCAGUAUGAGUCACUGUAUGAGUUCCCCCCCAGAAAAGGAAAUGUCAAUGUAGUGUCUUUCAGCCUAAAAAACAGCUUCCAAUAUCAUGUGUGCGUUUGCUUACACCCACACACCUACUUAAGACACUGAUAUGUCAUGGCCUCAUUCUCUUGAUGGGGUGAGCAACUUCAGUAAAAAUAUUGUUCACCAGAUAAUUUUUACCAUAAACUCCCACAAGUCUAUAAUGUGUUUUCUUCAGCUAGAGUACUGUAAUGAUAACAUCGCAAUAUCUACACUUUUGGAUCAAAUAUAAACAUAGCCUCAUAAUUAGUUCACAACUUUUAUUUAUUUAUAAUCUAUUUCAAAGCUAGGAAAGGCGUUCUCUAGACUAUUUCUCGAGUUCUGCUCAGGAAUGCAGCAAAAUGUAUGAAUUUAAUGAGUCAGCUGAAUGGUAAAAAGUGAGAGGAAUUUCUCAGAGGAUGCUCCCAAAUACAUGAGUCAGUAAAUGUCUGCAUUUAUUGACAUGAUCACACUUGCAACACGCCCCCUUCUCACGCGUCAGUUAUCGAUCAGUCUUACUGAAACUCCUUAACACAGAAUAGGAAAUCCUAUAGUAGCAGAAAGUCAGAGACCUACAAUAGUCACACCUGGUUCAUUUCUAGUCAUAUCAACAGUUCUACAAGAGCCUGAAUGCCAAGGGGAUGGCACAUGACACUUUUCUCACAGGCUUUCGACUUGUUGGGUUGGUCCUUGCAGCAUUGAUUGUCAAUGCAGUGUGUUUGAUCUGGAUUUGUUCUGUUACGCAUGGUGAAUCACCGUCAGGAGCUGGAGUAUUUCCAAUUCAUGACUUGGCCAAAUUCCUCAGAAGUCCCUCCUCCAAUUCUAGUGUGUUCUUUAAAGCUCUCCCCACCAAACAGAGCUUUGCUGAGCUAGGUGAGCUGGAGUGGGAGGAAGAGAGGAAAGAGAUGGACAGCAUGUUCCUGACUAAGAGUAGGACCCACAUCCAGGUGACCGAGUCAGGCUGGUACCUGGUCUUUGUCCAAGUCACCUUCAAGCUGCCAGCAGGGAAGGAGACCAGACACCUAAUGCUAAGGCUGGAUUUCACCUAUUCGGAACAGACGGACCAGAUUGCCAGUGCCUUCGACACACGACAGUUGCUGGAUGAGGAGCAAGACGCCCCUCUGAGUUUCUCUGUCCUUGUGUGGGUGGGGCUGGAAAAUAGACUGUCUGUCCUGGCAAGCCACAGGGCCCUGAUUGAUUAUGAGAGGAGACCAGUCUCCACCUGCAUCACCAUCAUUAGAUGCUCUGACUAGCCAAGCUGGCCUGGCGUGUGGGCCAAGGUCUACUAGCUUUGGAAUCACUGUCUGGUUGCCAGUCAAAUGCCCACACUUAACAACGAAAGGAACAAGUACGUCACCACGACUGGCCUAGAUUCAAUCUCUAAGCUGAAUAUCAGUGUAAAGGCGUCCGCAUGCUUCCCAGCCGAAACAGUUAAGAAGAGUUGGUGCAUACAGUUGAAGUCGGAAGUUUACAUACACCUUAGCCAAAUAUAUUUAAACUCAGUUUUUCACAAUUCCUGACAUUUAAUCCUAGUAAAGUUUCCCUGUCCUAGGUCAGUUAGGAUCAGCACUUUAUUUUAAGAAUGUGAAAUGUCAGAAUAAUAGUAGAGAGAAUCAUUUAUUUCAGAUUUUAUUUCAUUCAUCACAUUCCCAGUGGGUCAGAAGAUUACAUACACUCAAUUAGUAUUUGGUAGCAUUAGCCUAUCAGAAGCUUCUAAAGCCAUGACAUAAUUUUGUGGAAUUUUCCAAGCUAUUUUAAAAGGCCGUGUCAACUUAGUGUAUGUAAACUUCUGACCCACUGGAAUUGUGGUACAGUGAAUUAUAAGUGAAAUAAUCUGUCUGUAAACAAUUGUUGGAAAAAUUACUUGAGUCAUGCACAAAGUAGAACCGACUUGCCAAAACUAUAGUUUGUUAACAAGACAUUUGUGGAGUGGUUGAAAAAUGAGUUUUAAUGACUCCAACCUAAGUAUGUGUAAACUUCCGACUUCAACUGUGAAUACUUUAGUCUGGUAAACGCAUCUGAUUCUAAGAUUUCCGAAUGGCACUCUGAAGUAUACAUUCUAACAACCUACGACUUUGAUCUAGCGGUCCACACCCUCUUUUCUUUGUCUACCAAGCCAUCAUAUCGGUUUCAUCCGCUAGGGACUUUUUCUUUGUAUCAUGUAAUACCCCAUGUAUGAACUAAUUGUGUGUGUUUUCAUGUAUUUCUGUGACUUGAUUAGUUAGUAAAUAAAUAAUUAAACCAAUUCAACCGCUGAUUCAUAAUUUAUGCUAGGGUUUGUGCAGAUAUCCAAGGGUUUGCGACAUUCAGUAAUGAGAACUGAUGAGGUAAUAAUUCAUUAAUAAGCGACUGUUUUGAUAAGAUAUGAAAAUGUCUGAAGAGUUAUAGUUGGGAAAUUAACACUCUAUAAACAAAAUGUUCCCAUGGUGCCCCGACUUCCUAGUUAAAGUUACAUGAUUAGUUUAAUUGUGUAAUUCAAUUACACAUAGAGAAAUGAUUUGAUAAUAUACAGUCUUCACAUUUAAUGAUAGUCCAGACACGACAGCCUUUUCAGCAUGAUUUAAAUUGAAAGGCAAUGUUCCCACGUUCGUAGAGACUGCAUUCAUGGUAAACACUGCAUAUGUCGGCUCGAUCAGAAAUUACCUUUAAAUUUCAGGUUCUAUACCGCUGAACUUCGGCGAUACGGAUUGUAUCCAGACCCUAAACUAUAGGUGAAUGUAUGGCUUUGAUCUUCAGUACACUGGCAAGCAAAGCAUUUUUAAAAACCUGUGCUCUUAUUAUGAGCUCUCAAUAGGUCACUGCUUGUCACGCCCUGACCUUAGAGAGUCAUUUUAUUUCUCUAUUUGGUUAGGUCAGGGUGUGAUGUGGGGUGGGCAUUCUAUGUUGUCUAUUUCUUUGUUUUGGCCGAGUAUGGUUCCCAAUCACAGGCAGCUGUCUAUCGUUGUCUCUGAUUGGGAAUCAUACUUAGGCAGCCUUUUCCCACCUGUGUUUUGUGGUUAGUUGUUUUCUGUUUCGUAUCUUACCUGACAGAACUGUGCGCUUUCGUUUCAUUUUUGGUAUUUUUGUUUUAGUGUUUUUGGUGAAAAUAAACAUCAUGAACACUUUCCACGCUGCGCUUUGGUCGCAUUCCGACGACAGCGUUACACUGCUGGCUUGUUUAUGAUGUGUGACAGAGAAAAUGUAGUUAGGAUCAGUGGUGGUGAUAGACAUGAAUAUAGUCACUGGCACGAGCCAAGCGGGAUGGGUGUAUAGGAUGUCCACCAGCCAAUGAGCUAAGUUUCUUCCUCUUAAUUUUCGGACUAAUUUGUCUUCCCAAAACUGAAUGUCUGCAUUGAAGACAAAAGAGUUAUGUUAGGGUUCUAGCACAGUGCAUCUAAAUAGGAAGACUACAGUAAAGCCAGGAUUUUAUGUGGGCUGAAAAAUUAAACCAUGCAUUUUGUAUAUUAUAUCUGGUAACUUUUUUUAUAUACUCAACAAAGGAAUAUGCUGCAGAGAAAUAAAGUGCCUGUCCACACUACACAACUUAAUGUUUUGUAGCAAUGAUUGAUGUACACUGAGUGUACAAAACAUUAGGAACAUCUGCUCUUUCUAUGACAUAGACUGAUCAGGUGGAUCCAGGUGAAAGCUAUGAUCCCAUAUUGAUGUCACUUGUUAAAUCCACUUCAAAUCAGUGUAGAUGAAGGGGAGGAGACAGGUUAAAGAAGGAUUUUUAAGCCUUGAGACAAUUGAGACAUGGAUUGACCGUUUAGUCACGGUAAUUAGGCUUCUCCAAGCUCUGAUGCUGCUGAUGGUCAUUAGUAGCCUAUCAAACUUGCUAAUUGCCUUGUAUUUAGCACUCUAUUGUCCCUCUAAUCACUCUGACAUCAAUGCAAAUGUCAUCGAAAGAUCUAAUCAAACACUUCAUGAGAGCCCAUGAGCUCAUGUUGCGCAACAUUUCUAUUGGCUAUGCAAUUGCAUGAGAGAACAUCGGUUUGAUGGCCUCUAUUAAAAAGAAGAGGAUCCAAUCAGCUUUCUAUAGGCUAGGCCUACUAUAUUUAUUUCUCAACUUUCCUAAUAUUUUUAUAUAUUUUUUUGUUACCCUCCUUUUUGUAUAUCCAAUUUCGAUCUUAUCAUCGCUGCAACUCCCCAGUGGGCUCGGGAGAGGCGAAGGUGGAGUCAUGCGUCCUACAAAACAUGACCCACCUAACCACGCUCCUUAACACCCGCCAGCUUAACCCGGAAAUCAGCCGCACCAAUGUGUCGGAGGAAACACCAUUCAACUGCCGAUCGGUGCAAGCCUGCAGGCACCCGGCCCACCACAAGGAGUCACUAGAGCGCGAUGAGCCAAGUAAAGCCCUGGCCAUGUUUCUGGCCAUUUUGAGCCUGUAAUCAAACCCACAAAUGCUGAUUCUCCAGAUACUCAACUAGUCUAAAGAAGGCCAGUUGUAUUGUUUCUUUAAUCAGCACAACAAUUUUUUAGCUGUGCUUACAUUUUCUUAUUUCUUUCACCUUUAUUUAACCAGGUUAGCUAGUUGAGAACAAGUUCUCACUUACAACUGCGACCUGGCCAAGAUAAAGCAAAGCAGUGCGACACAGCACAGAGUUACACAUGGAAUAAACAAGCGUACAGUCAAUAACACAAUAGAAAAAAAGAGUCUAUAUACAGUGUGUGCAAAUGGCGUGAGGAGGUAGGCAAUAAAUAGGACAUAGUAGCGAAGUAAUUCAAUUUUAGCAGAUUAACACUGGAGUGAUAAAUGAGCAGAUGAUGAUGUGCAAGUAGAGAUACUGGUGUGCAAAAGAGCAGAAAAGUAAAUAAAAACAAUACGGGGAUGAGGUAGGUAGAUUGGGUGGGCUAUUUACAGAUGGACUAUGUACAGCUGCAGCGAUCGGUUAGCUGCUCAGAUAGCUGAUGUUUAAAGUUAGUGAGGGAAAUAUAAGUCUCCAGCU
rnacentral:lncRNA from 8 species